AUAAUGACUGUGCCUGUACGUAUGGACACAAUGUUCUUUCUUCUCAUAGCUCAAAAUGUUCUAAAGAUAAAAUCUAAUGAUUUCUUAUAGGAAGACUAGGCUUGGUGGAUACAAGUAAGAAAGCCAAGCAGAGAGAGGGGACUCCCUUUCAGAAAGUGGACAAAAAAAUAAUUCCAAUGUUAAUCACUAGGAAUGGUUGAAAGUACAUUAAUUGAACGGAAGAGUCUGCAGCUGAAAGAAUGAGUGAAAUUCCUGUAAACAGUCUGGGCCCCAUAAAGGAAAGUAUCUCCGUCAUUGGUGAGGCAGCCAUUGACAUGACCACCAGCAUUGAGAUAAGCACACAUGGCUUCAGCUUCCCCAGCAGCCUGAACCCAGGGGAUUCCUAAGCAUUCGAGCAUAUGGAGGCACUGAAAACAAAAAGCAGGUGCAAGAUGUUAAAGAAUGUUUUCACUGCUCAUUUAUUUACUAUUAAACCUAUUUCUGUAUUACAAA